GGAAGCGUAGCUCAGCUGGGAUGAGCGCUCGCCUCACACGCGAGAGGUCACGGGUUCGAGCCCCGUCGUUUCCA
rnacentral:tRNA from 1 species